AAGGCCGAAGGCGGGCGUGGUGGGCGGGUCCGCAGUUUCCGUGGCCAAGAGGAGCCGGCGGCCGCUGUGUCUGUGGUGGCCGUGGCGGCGGCGAGAACAACCGUCCCAUUCUCCCCACCUCCUCGGCUCCGCUUGCCCCACGCCCUCCGCUCGCGCCGACUUCUCUGCAGCUCUGAGCGCCCUGGCUGGACGUUGAGGCUCGGGAGGAGACGCGCGCUGUGAAAGCCGAGCGGGUACUGCCGCGGAGCCCGGGCCGGGUGGAGAACGAGGCGUGAUCGAAGGGUAUGGUUGGCAUGGAAUUGAAUUUCAUCUGUCUGAGGGAAUUGUAAACAAGGUGUAUCUAAGAAACUUGUCCAAUUGAAGGUCACGAAGAUUUGCACCUGUUUUCUCGUUGCCAUCACGAAAGCCAAAGUGGAUUUCUCCAGUGUUGUGUGUCUGCCCCCUUCCGUCAUUGCUGUUAAUGGGC